rnacentral:lncRNA from 1 species
UUUGUUUAUUUGUUUAUUUACUUAAUAAGAACUUUAACCUAAAUAUAGUGUAUAUUGCAGUGCACAUGGUAUAAUAUGGGCGCGGAUCUCCGACAUUUAAGAUAUAUACCCCUUUUCGUGCCUUCUUAUUAUAUAGCUACUUAAGAUUUAUAAAGAAAGAUUGAUUACUCCAAUUUAAAAAAAAUAUCGAUAGUAGAAUUAACCUCAAAGUUCUAUUUUCGAAUAAACUACUGGUAUAUCAAAUGUCCUUGGGUGUUGUCUUUUAUCUUUCUUAACUGAGUUAGAAGUAAAAUGUGUGUAUGAAUAUAUGAAUUGGGCUCUAUUGAUAUACGAUACUUAUAAUUAAGUACUGUUGAAAUUAAAAGAUCUAGAACUCAAAAUUGAUACUUUAAGUCAGAAGAGCAUUAAUUAAGGAACAACAUAAACUUAAAAUAUUGAAAAGUUAUAGAGCUCCUUUCC